rnacentral:rRNA from 1 species
GUUUGCGGCGGGCUUAACACAUGCAAGUCGAACGAGAAUCCCUUCGGGGAGGAAAGUGGCGCACGGGUGCGUAACACGUGGAUGACCUACCCCUUGGUUCGGGACAACAGCGGGAAACUGCUGCUAAUACCGGAUGUGUCGUAGCAAUACGAGAAAGGCCCGCAAGGGUCGCCAGAGGACGGGUCCGCGUCCCAUCAGCUAGUUGGUGAGGUAAUGGCUCACCAAGGCGAAGACGGGUAGCUGGUCUGAGAGGAUGAUCAGCCACACUGGAACUGAGACACGGUCCAGACUCCUACGGGAGGCAGCAGUGGGGAAUAUUGCGCAAUGGGCGAAAGCCUGACGCAGCCACGCCGCGUGAGCGAUGAAGGUCUUCGGAUCGUAAAGCUCUGUGGGGGAGAAGAAGAAAGUCGGUGAAGAGCCGACCCUGACGGUAUCCCCUUAGCAAGCACCGGCUAACUCCGUGCCAGCAG